rnacentral:rRNA from 1 species
UACGUAGGUGGCAAGCGUUGUCCGGAUUUACUGGGUGUAAAGGGCGUGUAGGCGGGAUGGUAAGUCAGAUGUGAAAUACCGGGGCUCAACCCCGGGGCUGCAUUUGAAACUGCCGUUCUUGAGUGUCGGAGAGGAAAGCGGAAUUCCUAGUGUAGCGGUGAAAUGCGUAGAUAUUAGGAGGAACACCAGUGGCGAAGGCGGCUUUCUGGACGAUAACUGACGCUGAGGCGCGAAAGCGUGGGGAGCAAACAGG